UGAGAAAAAGAGGGGUAUUUGGCUUUCAGCCAUUAAGCUCUACUUGAAGAGAUGCCCGUAGAGCAAAGAAGUGAGAUAGGACUCUGAAAUUCAGACCAUGAGAAGGAAGAACAAGCAAAGAUGUGAAGGAACGCCAGGCAUAAUUUUAAAAGAAGGAACUAUUAAGAAGAGAAGAGAAAAAUAAGAUGGGCAGUAUGAAAACAUCAGAUUAUUGAGGAGCUCUCACUGUGCACCAAUGUAUUGUUAGAGGUCCUCAACAUCCAUUGACAUAGGGAUAGAAAGUGAUGUGGACAUUCUAUUGAUUAGGUGGCUGGCAAGAUGACCAAAUAGGAACAGCUCCAGUCUGCAGCUCCCAGCAAGAUCAACACAGAGGGCAGGUGAUUUCUGCAUUGCCAACUGAGCCUCCAUGUCCCUGGGUCGUCUUAGGGAGAGAGAGAGGAAAAUGGAAGCACUCUGUGAAUAAUAGACACCCAUCUUGCUUGGACUCAGCAUCUACAAUAUUGAGAAACUGGGCACUGGACAGGAAAUGAAAGUAAACAUCUGUCUACCAGCAGGACUCCUGUUUUCACAUCCCAGAACCUUCCUCUAUUCUGUAAUGGGACAAAGUACCAAUCUGAGACGGCCACUGAAAGAAUUAAAUGCAAUAAUGCAUGUAAGGUACUAAGCACCACAGAAGACACAAG
rnacentral:lncRNA from 13 species